rnacentral:rRNA from 1 species
CCUGGCUCAGGAUGAACGCUAGCUACAGGCUUAACACAUGCAAGUCGAGGGGCAGCAUGGUCUUAGCUUGCUAAGGCCGAUGGCGACCGGCGCACGGGUGAGUAACACGUAUCCAACCUGCCGUCUACUCUUGGACAGCCUUCUGAAAGGAAGAUUAAUACAAGAUGGCAUCAUGAGUCCGCAUGUUCACAUGAUUAAAGGUAUUCCGGUAGACGAUGGGGAUGCGUUCCAUUAGAUAGUAGGCGGGGUAACGGCCCACCUAGUCUUCGAUGGAUAGGGGUUCUGAGAGGAAGGUCCCCCACAUUGGAACUGAGACACGGUCCAAACUCCUACGGGAGGCAGCAGUGAGGAAUAUUGGUCAAUGGGCGAGAGCCUGAACCAGCCAAGUAGCGUGAAGGAUGACUGCCCUAUGGGUUGUAAACUUCUUUUAUAAAGGAAUAAAGUCGGGUAUGGAUACCCGUUUGCAUGUACUUUAUGAAUAAGGAUCGGCUAACUCCGUGCCAGCAGCCGCGGUAAUACGGAGGAUCCGAGCGUUAUCCGGAUUUAUUGGGUUUAAAGGGAGCGUAGAUGGAUGUUUAAGUCAGUUGUGAAAGUUUGCGGCUCAACCGUAAAAUUGCAGUUGAUACUGGAUAUCUUGAGUGCAGUUGAGGCAGGCGGAAUUCGUGGUGUAGCGGUGAAAUGCUUAGAUAUCACGAAGAACUCCGAUUGCGAAGGCAGCCUGCUAAGCUGCAACUGACAUUGAGGCUCGAAAGUGUGGGUAUCAAACAGGAUUAGAUACCCUGGUAGUCCACACGGUAAACGAUGAAUACUCGCUGUUUGCGAUAUACAGCAAGCGGCCAAGCGAAAGCGUUAAGUAUUCCACCUGGGGAGUACGCCGGCAACGGUGAAACUCAAAGGAAUUGACGGGGGCCCGCACAAGCGGAGGAACAUGUGGUUUAAUUCGAUGAUACGCGAGGAACCUUACCCGGGCUUAAAUUGCAGAUGAAUUACGGUGAAAGCCGUAAGCCGCAAGGCAUCUGUGAAGGUGCUGCAUGGUUGUCGUCAGCUCGUGCCGUGAGGUGUCGGCUUAAGUGCCAUAACGAGCGCAACCCUUGUUGUCAGUUACUAACAGGUUCCGCUGAGGACUCUGACAAGACUGCCAUCGUAAGAUGUGAGGAAGGUGGGGAUGACGUCAAAUCAGCACGGCCCUUACGUCCGGGGCUACACACGUGUUACAAUGGGGGGUACAGAGGGCCGCUACCACGCGAGUGGAUGCCAAUCCCCAAAACCUCUCUCAGUUCGGACUGGAGUCUGCAACCCGACUCCACGAAGCUGGAUUCGCUAGUAAUCGCGCAUCAGCCACGGCGCGGUGAAUACGUUCCCAGGCCUUGCACACACCGCCC